AUUGAACGCUGGCGGCAGGCCUAACACAUGCAAGUCGGGCGAGUGGCGGACGGGUGAGUAAUGUAUGGGGAUCUGCCUGAUGGAGGGGGAUAACUACUGGAAACGGUAGCUAAUACCGCAUACCAUCAGAAGAAACCAUAUGGGAUUAGCUAGUAGGUGAGGUAAAGGCUCACCUAGGCGACGAUCCCUAGCUGGUCUUAGAGGAUGAUCAGCCACACUGGUACUGAGACACGGCCCAUACUCCUACGGGAGUCAGCAGUGGGGAAUAUUGCACAAUGGGCGCAAGCCUGAUGAAGCCAUGCCGCGUGUAUUAAGAAGGCCUUCGGGUUGUAAAGUACUUUCAGGCGGGAGGCGUUACCGACAUAAGAAGCACCGGCUAACUCCGUGCCAGCAGCCGCGGUAAUUC
rnacentral:rRNA from 1 species